rnacentral:rRNA from 1 species
AUUGAACGCUGGCGGCAGGCCUAACACAUGCAAGUCGAACGAGUGGCGGACGGGUGAGUAAUGUCUGGGAAACUGCCUGAUGGAGGGGGAUAACUACUGGAAACGGUAGCUAAUACCGCAUACCAUCGGAUGUGCCCAGAUGGGAUUAGCUAGUAGGUGGGGUAACGGCUCCCCUGGGCGACGAACCCUAGCUGGUCUGCGAGGAUGACCAGCCACAUGGGAACUGAGACACGGUCAAGCCUCCGACGGGAGGCAGCAGGGGGGAAGAGUGGACAAUGGGCGCAAGCCUGAUGGAGCCAUGCCGCGUGUAUGAAGAGGGCCUUCGGGUUGUAAAGUACUUUAAGCGGGGAGGCGUUACCCGCAGAAGAAGCACCGGCUAACUCCGUGCCAGCAGCCGCGGUAAUUC